rnacentral:rRNA from 1 species
AGUGAACGCUGGCGGCAGGCCUAAUACAUGCAAGUCGAACGGCAGCACAGCAGAGCUUGCUCUGUGGGUGGCGAGUGGCGGACGGGUGAGGAAUACAUGGGAAUCUGCUCAGUCGUGGGGGAUAACGUAUGGAAACGUACGCUAAUACCGCAUGCGCCCUACGGGGGAAAGGUCGGGGACCGCAAGGCCUGGCGCGAUUGGAUGAGCCCAUGUUCGAUUAGCUAGUUGGCGGGGUAAAGGCCCACCAAGGCGACGAUCGAUAGCUGGUCUGAGAGGAUGAUCAGCCACACUGGAACUGAGACACGGUCCAGACUCCUACGGGAGGCAGCAGUAGGGAAUAUUGGACAAUGGGGCGAACCCUCGAUCCAGCCAUGCCGCGUGAGUGAAGAA